GAGCCAGUAUGAUGUAAUGGUCUGAGCAUUGGACUACCACUCUAGAGACCAGGGUUCAAAUCCCUGCUGAAACA